rnacentral:tRNA from 1 species
GGGUAUAGCUCAGUGAUAGAGUGUGUGCUUAGCAUGCACGAGGUCCUGGGUUCAAUCCUCAGUACCUCCA